rnacentral:tRNA from 1 species
GCCGGUGUGGCUCAGUGGACAGAGCGUCAGCCUUUGGACUGAAGGGUUCCGGGUUUGAUUCCGGCCACGGGCA